rnacentral:rRNA from 1 species
GAUGAACGCUGGCGGCGUGCCUAAUACAUGCAAGUCGAGCGAACGGACGAGAAGCUUGCUUCUCUGAUGUUAGCGGCGGACGGGUGAGUAACACGUGGAUAACCUACCUAUAAGACUGGGAUAACUUCGGGAAACCGGAGCUAAUACCGGAUGAUAUUUUGAACCGCAUGGUUCAAAAGUGAAAGACGGUCUUGCUGUCACUUGUAGAUGGAUCCGCGCUGCAUUAGCUAGUUGGUAAGGUAACGGCUUACCAAGGCAACGAUGCAUAGCCGACCUGAGAGGGUGAUCGGCCACACUGGAACUGAGACACGGUCCAGACUCCUACGGGAGGCAGCAGUAGGGAAUCUUCCGCAAUGGGCGAAAGCCUGACGGAGCAACGCCGCGUGAGUGAUGAAGGUCUUCGGAUCGUAAAACUCUGUUAUUAGGGAAGAACAUAUGUGUAAGUAACUGUGCACAUCUUGACGGUACCUAAUCAGAAAGCCACGGCUAACUACGUG